rnacentral:rRNA from 1 species
UACGAAGGGAGCUAGCGUUGUUCGGAAUUACUGGGCGUAAAGGGCGUGUAGGCGGUAUCAUAAGUCAGAUGUGAAAGACCUGGGCUUAACCUAGGAAGUGCAUUUGAUACUGUGAAACUAGAGAUCGAGAGAGGAAAGUGGAAUUACGAGUGUAGAGGUGAAAUUCGUAGAUAUUCGUAAGAACACCAGUGGCGAAGGCGGCUUUCUGGCUCGAUACUGACGCUGAGGCACGAAAGCGUGGGGAGCAAACAGG